AGAGUUUGAUCCUGGCUCAGGAUGAACGCUGGCGGCGUGCUUAACACAUGCAAGUCGAACGAACCUUCGGGUUAGUGGCGGACGGGUGAGUAACGCGUGAGAAUCUGCCCUCAGGAGGGGGAUAACGGUUGGAAACGACCGCUAAUACCCCAUAUGCCUACUGGUGAAAUGAAUUUCGCCUGAGGAUGAGCUCGCGUCUGAUUAGUUUGUUGGUGGGGUAAUGGCCUACCAAGACUGUGAUCAAUAGCUGAUUUGAGAGGAUGAUCAGCCACAUUGGGACUGAGACACGGCCCAAACUCCUACGGGAGGCAGCAGUGGGGAAUCUUGCACAAUGGAGGAAACUCUGAUGCAGCGAUGCCGCGUGAGUGAAGAAGGCCUUUGGGUUGUAAAGCUCUUUCGUCGGGGAAGAAAAUGACUGUACCCGAAUAAGAAGGUCCGGCUAACUUCGUGCCAGCAGCCGCGGUAAUACGAAGGGACCUAGCGUAGUUCGGAAUUACUGGGCUUAAAGAGUUCGUAGGUGGUUGAAAAAGUUAGUGGUGAAAUCCCAGAGCUUAACUCUGGAACUGCCAUUAAAACUUUUCAGCUAGAGUAUGAUAGAGGAAAGCAGAAUUUCUAGUGUAGAGGUGAAAUUCGUAGAUAUUAGAAAGAAUACCAAUUGCGAAGGCAGCUUUCUGGAUCAUUACUGACACUGAGGAACGAAAGCAUGGGUAGCGAAGAGGAUUAGAUACCCUCGUAGUCCAUGCCGUAAACGAUGUGUGUUAGACGUUGGAAAUUUAUUUUCAGUGUCGCAGCGAAAGCGAUAAACACACCGCCUGGGGAGUACGACCGCAAGGUUAAAACUCAAAUGAAUUGACGGGGACCCGCACAAGUAGUGGAGCAUGUGGUUUAAUUCGAAGAUACGCGCAGAACCUUACCAACACUUGACAUGUUCGUCGCGACUUUAAGAGAUUAAAGUUUUCGGUUCGGCCGGACGAAACACAGGUGCUGCAUGGCUGUCGUCAGCUCGUGUCGUGAGAUGUUGGGUUAAGUCCCGCAACGAGCGCAACCCUCACUUUUAGUUGCCAUCAUUUAGUUGGGCACUCUGAAAGAACUGCCAGUGAUAAGCUGGAGGAAGGUGGGGAUGACGUCAAGUCCUCAUGGCCCUUACGUGUUGGGCUACACACGUGCUACAAUGGCAUUUACAAUAGGAAGCAAGACGGCGACGUUUAGCAAAUCCUAAAAAAAUGCCUCAGUUCGGAUUGUACUCUGCAACUCGAGUACAUGAAGCUGGAAUUACUAGUAAUCGCGGAUCAGCGCGCCGCGGUGAAUACGUUCCCGGGUCUUGUACACACCGCCCGUCACACCAUGGAAGUUGGUUCUACCUUAAGGCAAAGCAUAAAACCUUUGACCACGGUAUAGUCAGCGACUGGGGUGAAGUCAUAACAAGGUAACCGUA
rnacentral:rRNA from 1 species